rnacentral:lncRNA from 1 species
UCGCUGACAUUUGUGAGAUGGGAUCGACGGGGAAGUUCCCCCAUAGAGCCAGAGCACCUCAUUGCCGACGGAGGCUUGGUCUAAAAUGGUCACAACGGUCAGGCUGGUUAUAAUGAUCACAGCGGUCAGGCUGGUUAUAAUGAUCACAGUAGUUAGGCUGGUUAUAAUGAUCACAGCGGUCAGGCUGGUUAUGAUGAUCGCAGCGGUCAGGCUGGUUAUGAUGAUCGCAGCGGUCAGGCUGGUUAUAAUGAUCACAGCGGUCAGGCUGGUUAUAAUGAUCACAGCGGUCAGGCUGGUUAUAAUGAAUGCAGCGGUCAGGCUGGUUAUGAUGAUCACAGCGGUCAGGCUGGUUAUGAUCACAGUGGUCAGGCUGGUUAUAAUGAUCACAGCGGUCAGGCUGGUUAUGAUGAUCACAGUGGUCAGGCUGGUUAUGAUGAUCACAGCGGUCAGGCUGGUUAUAAUGAUCACAGCGGUCAGGCUGGUUAUGAUGAUCACAGUGGUCAGGCUGGUUAUGAUGAUCACAGCGGUCAGGCUGGUUAUAAUGAUCACAGCGGUCAGGCUUGUUAGGUGUGCUUUAGGUAGUUUUUUAGGG